rnacentral:tRNA from 1 species
GGAGGCGUGGCCGAGCGGUUUAAGGCACCGGUCUUGAAAACCGGCGUGGGUUCCGCCCACCGUGAGUUCGAAUCUCACCACCUCCG